rnacentral:rRNA from 1 species
UACGGUGGGGGCAAGCGUUGUUCGGAAUUACUGGGCGUAAAGGGCUCGUAGGCGGCCAACUAAGUCGGACGUGAAAUCCCCAGGCUCAACCUGGGAACUGCGUCCGAUACUGGAUGGCUUGAAUCCGGGAGAGGGAUGCAGAAUUCCAGGUGUAGCGGUGAAAUGCGUAGAUAUCUGGAGGAAUACCGGUGGCGAAGGCGGCAUCCUGGACCGGCAUUGACGCUGAGGAGCGAAAGCGUGGGGAGCGAACAGG